rnacentral:rRNA from 1 species
UGGGGAAUUUUGGACAAUGGGCGAAAGCCUGAUCCAGCAAUGCCGCGUGUGUGAAGAAGGCCUUCGGGUUGUAAAGCACUUUUGUCCGGAAAGAAAUCCUCUGGGUUAAUACCUCGGGGGGAUGACGGUACCGGAAGAAUAAGCACCGGCUAACUACGUGCCAGCAGCCGCGGUAAUACGUAGGGUGCAAGCGUUAAUCGGAAUUACUGGGCGUAAAGCGUGCGCAGGCGGUUCGGAAAGAAAGAUGUGAAAUCCCAGAGCUUAACUUUGGAACUGCAUUUUUAACUACCGGGCUAGAGUGUGUCAGAGGGAGGUGGAAUUCCGCGUGUAGCAGUGAAAUGCGUAGAUAUGCGGAGGAACACCGAUGGCGAAGGCAGCCUCCUGGGAUAACACUGACGCUCAUGCACGAAAGCGUGGGGAGCAAACAGGAUUAGAUACCCUGGUAGUCCACGCCCUAAACGAUGUCAACUAGCUGUUGGGGUCUUCGGACCUUGGUAGCGCAGCUAACGCGUGAAGUUGACCGCCUGGGGAGUACGGUCGCAAGAUUAAACUUAAAGGAAUU